AGCCAUGCCCCGCGCCUUAUUGAGGUAUUUUUUGGGCAAGACGACGUUACCAUGCUCAAACAGGUUUUCCGCUUCGACAAACUUUUGCGUGGUUUGUGCAAAUUUCCUUAUUUCAGCAAUCGUCAUGGUUGGAUCUUACUUCACAGCAGAGCGCUUUAAUCGAGCAUAAAAACCGUUUUGCCGCAUUAAUUGUUCAUGGUUACCCAUUUCCAAAACUUUUCCAUCAUUAAUCACAAUUAUCAGCGUCGCAUUACGGAUGAUUGAGAGUCGAUGGGAUAUUAUAAACGAUGUUUUAUCCUUCAUUAGUCUGCCUAUUGAUUGUUGGAUCAAUUUUUCGGAGUGUACAUCGAUGGAGCUCGUGGCUUCAUCCAAUAAUAACACCGGGGCAUUACGAAUAACAGCGCGGGCAAUAGUUAACAGUUGGCGCUCACCGACCGAGAGAUAAUCAGUUUUGUUGGAAAUAAAGGUGUUGUAACCUUGGGGUAAACGCAUAAUAAAGUCAUGAGCAUUGGCCACCUUGCACGCCUCUAUAAUUUCCUCAUCAGUGGCAUCUUGCCGUCCCAUGCGGAUGUUUUCCUUAAUCGUGCCACUAAACAAGAAGGGGUCUUGGAGCACAAUCGAAAUCUUUUCCCGUCAAGCAGUUUCACUCACCUCACUAAUCUCAAAGUUGUCCAUGUAGAUCUUCCCAGCAAACGGUUUGUAGAACUUCAUCAACAGGUUAAUAAUGGUGGACUUACCCGCUCCAGUAGGACCGACUAUGGCCACAAUGUCACCGUGUUUAACCGAGAAAUCAAUCCCCGUUAAAAUUGGUUUGUCCGCACUGUAACCAAAAGCUACCUUUUCAAAACGGAUGUUGCCCUUAAUGUUGGGUAACUUAGUAAUGGUGGCCUGUUUUUGGGGACUUUCUAGAUCCAAGAUCUUGAAGACCCUCUCGCCACUUACUAUCCCUAACUGGAUUAAGUUUCACAAGCUAAAGAUCUGGUUUAAAGGGAGUGCUGUUUGACGUAAGGCCGCAAUGUAAGACAGCAUAAACGAAUAGUUAAUCGCACUCACCCCAAAGGAGGGAAUGUUAUUCACACUAAAGGCCGUGGCAAUUGAGAUCGAAGCUAAGUAAGUAAUAUUGGAAAUAAAACCAAACCAGGAGUAAAU
rnacentral:sRNA from 1 species